GUUCUCAUUUAUUCAACAUACACUUACUGAGUGCUUACCAUUUGCCAGGCACUUUGCUAAAAACACUGGGGAUACAGUGGCCCGCAGGAAGGGCAGGGUCCUUGUUCUUACAUUGUAGUGGAGGAAACAUAAAAAACAACUGUGCUUUUUUAAACAAAAGUAAGUUAAACAGGCAAAAGAAUCAUAAUAUGUAAUGAGUGCUUUGAAAGAAAUUAGCAAGGAGAUUAUGAAACAUUUGGAACAUUAGCCACUAGUGCAUUGAUAUUUUCUAUUGAAAAUCGGCUUUGAGCCCUCAGUGUCCGGCUGAGGCGUGGUGUAUGCUGAGCCGCUGCCACAGCCGGCUGCUCCACGUCCUGGGCCUUAGCUUCUUGCUGCAGAACCUCCACCUGAUUCUCCUCUGCCCUCCCGUCUCAUGAAGCCGCUGGUCGUGUUUGUCCUCGGCGGCCCUGGUUCCGGCAAGGGGCCACAGUGCGCCCACAUCGUUGAGAAAUACGGCUAUACACACCUUUCUGCAGGAGAGCUGCUUUGUGAUGAAAGGAAGAACCCAGAUUUACAGUAUGGUGAACUUAUUGAAAAGUACAUUAAAGAAGGAAAAAUUGUACCAGUUGAGAUAACCAUCAGUUUAUUAAAGAGGGAAAUGGAUCAAACAAUGGCUGCCAAUGCUCAGAAGAAUAAAUUCUUGAUUGAUGGGUUUCCAAGAAAUCAAGACAACCUUCAAGGUUGGAACAAGACCAUAGAUGGGAAGGCAGAUGUAUCUUUCGUUCUGUUUUUUGACUGUAAUAAUGAGAUCUGUAUUGAAUGAUGUCUGAGAGGGGAAAGAGUAGUGGUGGGAGUGAUGACAGCAGAGAGAGCUUGGAAAAGAGAAUUCAGACCUACCUUCAGUCAACAAAGCUGAUUACUGACUUACAUGAAGAAAUGGGGAAAGUGAAGAAAAUAGAUGCUUCUAAAUCUAUUGAUGAAGUUUUUGAUGAAGUUGUAAAGAUUUUUGACAAGGAAGGCUAAUUCUAAACCUGAAAGCAUCCUUGAAAUCAUGCUCGAAUAUUGCUUUGAUAGCUGCUAUCACAACCCCUUUUUAAGGCAGUUUUAAUCUUUUAUAACCACAUUUCAAUCAGUGGCUGGAAAGUAUGUGGUAAAACAAAUUAAAUUAUUUAUGUUUUUUUGUUGUCACAGGAAUAGACGGUGAAUUCAGGUUUAACUUCAUCUUAGUUAUGGUGCUCACUAAACAAAGAAGGGUAUCAGCUAGUUUAUUUUUUUUUAUUUCAAAAGGGAUAUCCUUUUAUAGUUUGUGCCUUCUGUGAGCAAAACUUUUUAUUAUGCAUAUAUAUAUAUAUAUAUAUAUAUCCCUUUAACAAUUACAACGUGUUAGGAUUUAGGGAUACCCACUUUCUCUUUUUCUUGCAAGUUUUAAAUUUCCAACCUUAACUGAAUUUGUGGACCAAAUAUCAAAGGAACUUUUCUGUGUAGUCAGUUCUUGUACAAUGUCUUUGGUAAACAAACUGAAAAUGGAUUCUUAGCAGUGUUUUAGUAUUUAUCAAAUAACUGACCACUGGCUAUAGAAAGGUGAGAAAACUUAGGCUUUGUUUUACUACAACUUGUGCAAAGUUGUAUGACAGGGCAUAGUCUUUGCUUCCAAGAUUUGGGUUGGGGGCACUAGGACUUCAGAGUCUGGCAGAAUUGUCAGCUUUAUUCUGACAUAAUCUAAGGGUAUGAGGCAAGGAUUACAUCUAAUGCUUGUGUUCCUUGUAAUCUGUUAUAUAGUGUUAUUCAUGAUUCCGCUGAUCUUAAAAUUUCUAGCAGUGGAACCUUGAAAUGCAUGUGACUAGAUUUAUGCUAAAAUGAUUCAGUUAGCAUUUUAGUAACACUUUAAAGGUUUUUUUGUUUUCUAGACUUAAUAAAAGGUUAGGAUUAAUUAGAAGAAGCAAUCUAGUUAAGUUUCCCAUUUGUAUUUUAUUUUCUUGAAUACUUUUUUCAUAGUUAUUUGUUUAAAGAGAUUUAAAAAGCAUUGCACUUUGGUCAGAAAAAUAAUAAAUAUGUCUUAUAAAACAAAAAGAAAAUUGGCUUUGAAAACUGCAAGGGACUUAUUCCACUAUGGACUAAUUUGCAUAAAUAUGUGAUCUUAAUAUUUAUGCAUUCAGUUCUCUUCUGAUACAUCUGUGAAGUCAUUUUGCUUUUAAAAACUUUUCAUAAUUCUUGUCCCUUUUUCUGUCCAUUUCUGUGAAAUACUUUUUGUUACUCUCAGUUACACCUACUCUUGGCUAAUUUGUCUUUUAAAUUCUGGAAACAUAGCUCCUAAAUAACCUUUGGGAUUUUGAAAUGAUGUAUUUAAGAGUAGAGACUCAGAUCCUGUUUUGUAUGUUCCUGUGUGGGCUGCUGUUCCCAAGGAUGGAACCAAAGAUCUAAUUAUGGGGAAGCAAGCGUGGAAAAUGCUAUUAAUUAAAUGGAUUGCUCCGGUGGUAUUGGACAGGUUAUCCAAGCUGGUUAGACCAAAGUAUUCUUGUUGUUUUUGUUGUUGUUACUUUGCUAAUGAGGCCAGGGUCACAGUUUUAUUCCUGUCUGAGCCAAUUUCAUUCUGAGGAAAGUUAGAUUCCUUAGCUAACAUUACUUUUCCCUGAGUCAGGAAGUAUUCUCUUAUAUGCAGCUAGACCACAGGGGUGAAAGUUUCUUUUGUGUAUUUAGUCUUUCAGCCAAGUAGUACUUUCCAUGCUUACGUGGAUUUUAAGGUCUAUGACCCUACUCUUGUCCUUCUUCAUUCAAAAUCUUUUUAUAAGCAGCAGUUUCUGCUCUGUGUAAAAGUAAGUUGUACGUCUUCUCAUUGUCUUCCCAUUAGUCUGGGACUAAAUCAAAACAGAAAAAACUGCCCAUACCUGUGUUAAAAGCAUGCAAGGCUCCUAAGGUGGUACUUUCUCUGAAAAUAACUGCGAUCUCUGCUUUCUGAGAGUUGUUCUCUACCACUUGUCUUUAAAUAUAAUGAUCUGAUACCAUGGAUCAUUUUACAUAAAAGUCUUCCAGAGAUGUCUAUUGCUUUUGAAAUUGUUGGUUUGUAGCAAUAUGACCAUGUUACGUUAAGCAGUUUAUUUUAGAAAAAGAAAAAUUUCAGUUUGGUGAAGAAAAUUCUUACAAAAGGAAAACAUUUCUAUCCUGAAUUUAUCUUCUUUGUUCGCUCAUCUUUGCAAGGGGCAUUAGGCUCAGCAUAAUCCAUCUUUACUACUGGAACGUGUGCAUAGAACAGCAGGAGAAUUUCUGAGAUGAUAUAUUUUUAUUACAUGUAGAUCCUUAAGUGGAAAGAUUAGACAAAUUUCCCCACAUUUAUUAACAGCUCUAGUGUUUUUAAAGAACCUGCAUAUACAUGAUUGCUCUUGAGUUUCCCAGGACAUCCUUGCAAUCAGUGAUGUAACUGUUUGUAUUCAGUCAUAUAUUCCUAUAGCUGCUUGUGCUAAAUACAGGUAUCUGAGGAUUCAGUGAAUAAAAGACUGCAUUUAAGGAGCUCGUGUUCUCAUAGGGGGCAGCGACAUAAGCCUUCAAAUUAAUAAGUAAUUUUGUGCAGUGAUAAAUAUUGUGAGAAAAAAGGAUGAAUGAUACAGAGAGUGACUGUUUUCGGGGUGAGGGUGGGGACAGAACUCCUUUUCCCAGGGUCGUUCUGGAAGAACUUACUGAGGAGUUGUCAUUUGAUCUGGGAAAUGGAUGAUGGCAAAGAAGCAGUUGUGUAAAGAUCUAGGAGAAAAGAUACUUAAGUGGAAGGGACAGCAAGUACAAAGGCCAUGAGGCGCAGUUAAACCGUUGUGUUUGAGAGGCUGAAUUAAAAUAGGUUGUGUAUGGCUGGAUCCAGAUCAUGAAGGACCUGUGGACCUUGGCACAGUAAUAUAUUUUUGUUCUGAUAGAAUAGGAAGCAUUUGGGGGCUUUAAGAAAGGCACAAUAGGAUUUCAUGCACACUUUUUAAAACUGAAGGCUUGCUAAUAUGGAGAAUGCAGUGUGGGGACAAGAGCUGAUGCAGGGUAGGGUGGUUGGGAGACUGCAUGGAAGUUCAGGCAGUAGUUGGUGGCCUGGACUAGCUUUGUAUGGGCAGCAAUUCUAAGACUAGGUUGGAUUCGGGAUAUGUUUGAGAGUGGAGCAACCUGUUAGGCUUGUUGAUGGAUUUGAUGUGAGGUGUGAGAAAAGAGAAGAAUCUAGGGUAACAUUCAAGUUGUUGACCUGAUCAGCUAUUCAGACAGUAUUUUCAUUUAUUCAUAUUGGGAAGAUUUGGGGUAGAGCAGAUUUGUGGAGAAAUGCCAGUUGUUCUGUUGACCAUGCUGAGUUUUAGUGGUGAAGUGGAAUAAGCAGUGGAUGUCAGUUCCCCAUUCCUAGAUUAUGAAGCAGAAACUAUUGAAAGCUGAUGUGAUUUGUCUGAGGUCACAUAACUACACAGUUAAGGUUCCUUUCUGUUGCCCAGGCUGGAAUGCAGUGGCGUGAUCUCUGCUUACUGCAACCUCUGCCUCCUGGGUUCAAGUGAUUCUCAUGCCUCAGCCUCCCAAGUAUCUGGGAUUACAGGUGUGCACCAUCACGCUUGGCUAAUUUUUGUAUUUUUCGUAGAGAUGGGGUUUCACCAUGUUUUCCAGGCUGGUCUUGAACUCCUGGCCUCAAGUGAUCUGCCUAUCUUGGCUUCCCAAAGUGCUGGGAUUACAGAUGUGAGGCACCACGUGGGGUCAAACCCAGGUUUUCUUUUUUUUGAGAUGGAGUCUCACUCUGUUGUCCAGGCUGCAGUGCAGUGGCAUGAUCUCGGCUUACUGCAACCUCUACCUCCUAGGUUGAAGCAAUUCUUCCGCCUCAGCCUCCCGAGCAGCUGGGACUACAUGCACCUGGCAUCAUGCCCAGCUAAUUUUUUGUACUUUUAGUAGAGAUGGGGUUUCACCACGUUGGCAGGCUGGUCUCAAACUCCUGACCUCAGGUGAUCCCCCUACCUCGGCCUCCCAAAGUGCUGGGAUUACAGGCAUGAACCACUGUGCUCAGCCCAAACCCAGGUUUUCUAAUGUUUUCUUUGUACUUCCUUACUCUAUUCUUGAACUUCCUCAUGCUUUUUCUUAUUUAUUAUACUUUAGGAAGAGUCCAGGCUCAGUCAUCAGACAUGAUUAAAAUUUUAGUGAUCCCAUUAUUUAGCUGUGACCAUUUCAACUUCUCUGAUUCUGUUAUUGGCUGAGAAGGCAGAAUGUGAAGCUGCCUUAUGUCUUUCUUGUAGAGAUUGUGAUAAUAGGUGUAAAGACCCUUUGAAAGUAAAGUACAACAUAAAUUCAAGGCAUUAUUAUUGUAUUCUUAUGCUUUAAGUAAACGUAGUCUUAGAAGCAGGUGGAUUUAUUGAC